CAAGAUGAAGCAGUGUCGCACAGCCCUGUCGCCUCACUCAUCCUGCCCUCAGGUCUUGUUUCUGCCUCUUCACAGCACCACCCCCAUGAAGCUUCCACAUGCACCUCUGCAGACCCAUCUCGCACGAUGCAGUGGGAGCGAGCCCUUGUGGUGAGGUGACAACGGCCCACAUAUCCCUCAGUGCUGGGGGAUGGGAGUGUGGGUUCCGGGGACCACUGUGUGCAGACACCCGUAGCUCAGGAGUCCAAAUGCCAAUUUGUGGCUGGCAUUCCAUGUGAGGAUUCAAGAACCCAGGCUCCUCCAUCCUCCAUCUCCAGGGGCUCUGGAGUCCUUCACUUCUAGCCAAUGCAUGAAGAAAGAGAAUAGAGAAUUACCUGUGGGGGAAUUUCAGUACGACGUCUGGAAGGGACACCCACUUCCACUCACCUCCCAUUGGCUAGAACUCAGGCGCACGGCCACGCUGAUUGCCGAGGAGGCUGGGAGGUGGGGCUGGCUCUGUGCCCAGGGAAAAGAGAGAACAAUUUCUGUAAGUACGUAGCUGUUUAUGUCACAGUAUUUAAAAAAAGAGUUUGUUCCAUAAAAUAGAUGAAACUCUAACUAAAAACCAGAUCACAUUAAAGAGUAAUUAUGUUUAAAAAAAAAAAAAAAAAAAAAAAAAAAAAAAAAAAAA
rnacentral:lncRNA from 1 species